AUUGAACGCUGGCGGAAUGCUUUACACAUGCAAGUCGAACGGUAGAGGGGGCAACCCCUCGAGAGUGGCGAACGGGUGAGUAAUAUAUCGGAACGUGCCCAGUCGUGGGGGAUAACGUAGCGAAAGUUACGCUAAUACCGCAUACGAUCUAAGGAUGAAAGCGGGGGAUCGCAAGACCUCGCGCGAUUGGAGCGGCCGAUAUCAGAUUAGGUAGUUGGUGGGGUAAAGGCUCACCAAGCCGACGAUCUGUAGCUGGUCUGAGAGGACGACCAGCCACACUGGGACUGAGACACGGCCCAGACUCCUACGGGAGGCAGCAGUGGGGAAUUUUGGACAAUGGGCGCAAGCCUGAUCCAGCCAUGCCGCGUGCAGGAUGAAGGCCUUCGGGUUGUAAACUGCUUUUGUACGGAACGAAAAGGUUUGACUUAAUACGUUGGACUCAUGACGGUACCGUAAGAAUAAGCACCGGCUAACUACGUGCCAGCCGCCGCGGUAA
rnacentral:rRNA from 1 species